ACAGAAGGAAGAGCAGGUUUCUCACGGCAUGUCAGCCCAGGGCUCCCACAUGUGGCCUCCCACCCUCAUCUUCACACAUUCUCACACCUUCCGGAGUACAGAGGCGAGUGGGGUGCAGAUGGUCCUCCCUACAUCGGCCUCCUGCCCCCAACAGGAUUCCUCACAUCCCAGGACCAGCUGGAAAAGGUGGUGAGAGUUGGAAAGAGACUGCUCAGUGAGGACUGCCCUGCGAACCAGCUUGGAUUCAUCCCGUUCACCUCCACGUUCUGCACUCGGGGCCGAGGGAAGGGAGGCAGCCCAGGCAGCUAGAGAACUUGAUGAAACACACUCAAUCUGAAUCUCGCUUGAUCGUCAUGCUGACCCAGUGAGUCUACUCAGGGUCAGGCAUCCUUUCCGACUACUCACUCAGCAGCGGAUCCCCACCCGCCUCUGACUCCCAGUGUCUUUCGGCUCCAACGUAAGUUCACCGAACGUCUAAGAGCUGAGGAUUCAAAGGCAUGUAAGACCGCCCCUGCCCUCAGCUGCAAGACCUGUCCGCGAUCCUACGAGCCCCAUUCCGCCCUCUUUCCCCGACCUUGGUCCCCCAUGGGCCCUACAACCAGGUCCCCGACUGACACCUUGACCAGCGAACACAGCAAACAGGCCCGCAGAUGCCGCAGGUCCUUCGGCACCGUCUCCAGGGCCAUCUUCGCCGAUGGGAAGAACAACAGGGAGAUAGACGACCACAGCCUGUGCACCCGCAGGAAGUAAAUAGCUCGUUACCCAGAAUGCCCACCACUUCCGGCGCUUAGACUUCCUCUUCCGGUGUGGGCGGACGCCAGCUCCGCCCCUACCCCCGCCAGAGGAGAUGGUUUCUCCCGCCAGCAGGCGGGGAGGCUGGGCGGCCGGCCGCCACCUGGGCCGGAGCGCGUCGCAGCCACCUGAGCCCGCCGAGGGCGCGGCGGAGGCUGUGUGGGGUAGUCAGCGGGCCCCCGGGGCGGGGGGGCGGCUGCGCUUGCGCGGGAGUGUGUCGGGCUGAGCCGCAGCGCCGAGACGCGGGCUGUUUGAUCUGGGCUGGUGGCCCUGGGCGUCGGUCCUGUUCCCCGAUGGUAACCCGAAGUUUGUUUUUUUUUGUUUUGUCUCCCCGUUUUAGAAGCAUUGGGGGCAGUGAAUCCACUGUCUCCCUCUGGAUUGUCUCUGCAGAGACCGAGAAGAAAUCCAGGGACAGCCCCACCCCUCCUUCCUAACUGCGAGAGCGCUAUAGGGUUUCCACUUGCUUCCCACAGGAAUGCUGGCCUGGGAGCUACGGCGGAAAAAAAUGCGUAUUUAUCUUUUAAAACUCCGUCUGUUUGCUCGUUCCGGCUGAUAAUUUAUACUUUGCGCAGUUCUUAGCGCUUAGACACGGUUCCUUUACUAAAGACCAUUUGUAGGAGAUUAGGUGUCCUUUUUUUCCCUUUCAUUUCACCGUCUAGGAAGCGAAAUGCCUUGUUCUAUAGGCACUAAACCACCACCCCUACCAAACCUUUCUCGGGGAAGCAGAAGGGGAACUUGUGCCUUGUGAGGAAGCGACAAAGGCCCCUUCUGGCCCUGGAGACUUCACGCCAAUGGAGCACCAGCUCUCUGUCCUCGCAAUAGCCCGAGUGCAGGCAGAACGCAGUCAUUUGUGUUUAUCUGAGAGGAGCUUUGGGAUAUAAAUAGUUUCAGGCCCCGCUGCGCUGUCAUUCCAGCCCAGCCUCCUGAUUGAGCUGCUUCCGGGCGGGCUUUCUUCUUGUUGGCGGUCCCAUGCUGUGUUCAGAUGGGCUCUGUGACAGGUUUGGAUGUUUUCUAUCACUGAAUAAAACUUUCCACUUUGGAACAUAUUUUCUACACUCUAUUAUCUCAUGUAAGUCCUGCAACAACUAUUAAGUAGGCCCAUUUUAUGGACUGAAAAAGCGAGGCACAGAGUAUUUGCCCAAGGUCUGAGUCACUGAAGUAUGAUAAUGUGUGAAGUGAACAGUAUAAUAAUAAUGACUGAAGCACAGUAAGAAUCCAGUCAUGCUUUCUCCUUCCCUGAUCUCACUAAGCCACACUUUUAGGGGCUUACAAACCAGUUCUUAUUGCCAAGCCCUCUACUCUACCCUAUCCUUUCAUGAAUCGGAGCCUAGCCUCUGAUAACAUAAAUAAUUUACUUCUCUUGAUGUAGAAAGAGAUGACGUUGUUACCCUGAGUGACAGUCACGACAGAACAAAACCACAAGACCAGACCACAUUUGUGGAUAAAUAUAUUAGCAAAUAAAUAUAUUUCUUAACAUAGUGCCUGAUUCAAGCGUCUGUCUGGUUCAGAUAUAAAUACCCAUGUGGGUACCUAGGUGCUAGUCUCCCCACUAACUGAGGGAAAAAGGUUCCCAGGUGGGGUCCUCUGCCCACUUUGCCACCACAUUCACAUUCCAAAUGGGAUAAUGCCUGAGGGGCCAAGAGUGGUCAGGCUGCCCUGGGGUGAAUGUCACCCUGAUGAGGCCCAUCAGCUCUUGUCCACUCAGUGAGGCCAGACUUGUGCUCUAAUCCACUCUCCUGUGGGUCCCUGGCCUGUAUGGCUUAUACUGGGG
rnacentral:lncRNA from 1 species